UAACAGGAUUAGAUACCCUGGUAGUCCACGCCGUAAACGAUGUCGACUUGGAGGUUGUGCCCUUGAGGCGUGGCUUCCGGAGCUAACGCGUUAAGUCGACCGCCAGGGGAGUACGGCCGCAAGGUUAAAACUCAAAUGAAUUGACGGGGGCCCGCACAAGCGGUGGAGCAUGUGGUUUAAUUCGAUGCAACGCGAAGAACCUUACCUGGUCUUGACAUCCACGGAAGUUUUCAGAGAUGAGAAUGUGCCUUCGGGAACCGUGAGACAGGUGCUGCAUGGCUGUCGUCGGCUCGUGUUGUGAAAUGUUGGGUUAAGUCCCGCAACGAGCGCAACCCUGAUCCUUUGUUGCCAGCGGUCCGGCCGGGAACUCAAAGGAGACUGCCAGUGAUAAACUGGAGGAAGGUGGGGAUGACGUAA
rnacentral:rRNA from 1 species